AGUCCGCUGCGAUUAAGGAAGUGGCUGGACCCAAUUUCCGUGGUUCAACAUCCUUCACUUGCGAUCUCGCACGUCAGUCUACUGGAAGUAAUAAGGCGUGCGAGAAGCAUAGAAAACAGUUGAUUGCUAGUUGUCGACCGUUGAUUGUGUAAACUUCAAUUUGACUUGGACGAUAUUCAUCAACGAUCCAUCAUGUGGAAAUUCGCUAUUAUCUUGGCCUUCGCUAUCGCAAUGAGCAUUCCUGUCCAUGCCGAGGAGACGGGGGAUGAAACAGAGAAUGGCGAUGCCAUGGCUGAGUGCAGCAUUUGCCGCAAAGAGGAAUGCCCACCUGCAUCGGAUUGCCGGGCCGGUCUUGUCCUAGAUCGCUGCGGAUGCUGUAACGUAUGCGGACGGAUCGAGGGCGAAAAAUGCGACAAUUACACUCUACCCCUAGAGUACAAGGACCGCUACGGAUUCUGCGGCGACAACAUGGCCUGCCUCUUACGUAACGACAUGGAAGACUUGGACAUUAACGAGGCGUUGUGCUACUGUAAAAAACCGGGGGCGGUAUGCGGGACGGACCUUCGGACUUACGCCUCCGUGUGCAAACUCCGCCAGGAGGCCAUCCAGCGAGGAGACGACGAAGUCACAGUCAAGGAAUGGGGACCCUGCGAAACUCAUCCCAUCAUUUCGUCGGCCCCGGAAAAUGUGACGGCCAACAUUCACGACGAUUUGGCAUUGAGUUGCGAAGCCCGCGGCUAUCCCAUUCCUAGUCUUAUUUGGGAAUUCGAAUCAGCCGCCACUGGAAAGAAAACUAAAUUACCCGGAGACGAUCAAAUGAUUGCUUUGCAAGUUCGAGGAGGUCCCGAACCUUACAUGAUCUCUUCGUGGAUUCAAAUCCUUCGCGUACGCUCAACCGACGCCGGAAUCUUCAGCUGCACGGUCGUCAGUAAAAAGGGUAUCGUUCGUGCCGAGGGUACUGUCACCGUUGCCAAGCGAGUGAAAAUCAAGAGCCAACCAAAAACUGCAGCGCCAACGACUCCUGUUCCAGCUCCUCUGCCCGUCUCAACCGCUGCUAACUAUAAUAACGGAGCAAGGUUGAAUUUUAAAAAGAGCAAUCCGGGCAUCAAUAAAAGUAGAUCAGCACGCAAACAACCCGUCUACGAGCCAUCAGGAUAACAACAACAAACAACCUAACAAACAAGUUAGCUGUCUAACAUGUACGCGUGGAACAGCAAACGUUUGCCAAACUCGACGUUAUAUAAAAGAUAUCCGUCAGCGAACGAUUCCUCGAGUUUGACAAUGUGGCAGCGUUCGGAAACUUUGGAAUACUUAAUGAAAAACAUUUUUAAAAAAACUAUAUUAACCUUAUUGAUAUAUUGAUUAGCUUUUUUCCCCUUACUUAAUCGUUUCAAGCGGCUCCUUAUUCCUCAGGAGAAAUUUCCAAUAAACUUUUCCAAUUCCCAACCGUCAGAUUUCUCUUUAUUCCACCUUUAACUUCUUGCCUCCUCCCAACAAAAUAAAAUCGUUUAAUAAUCAUAUAAUAUACUACAUUUUUAUCUCA